GAGUGGAGGAAAUUUAAGAGCAUCUCUGUUGUCCACAUGAAAGGAAAAAAAGAAAUCGAAGAUGCUGUUUAUUUUAAAUACUUCUGUCUCCAUGUGCAACUGUAACGAAUACUGUGCUGAUUCGUGAGGAACCACAUGAAUCUCUGGAACCACAAACUUGAACAGAAAGAGAGGCAAGAAAGUUGAUAUUCAAGACUACAAGGAAACAAUACUUUGUUAUUUAAGAAUUGCAUUCAUG